AGUCUCCCAGGACUGCGCGGCGCGCUCUCAGAAGGAUGCGCCUGCGCAUUGUGCUGGUCUCCAUGGCAGGGCCUCGGAGCCAAGACGAGAAGAAAUGCUGCUGUGAAGACACAAUUAUGGCUUUCACACAAAUGAAGCCACAACUGUCAUGAUUCAGUGCCCCUCAAAGGAAGAACUUGAGUGGACAAGAGAGGGCAUUUCUGGGACUAGUAAAAUGUUUGAGGCCUGAGUUUAUACUUGAACUACUACCUGAAGCUCUUAACUAAUAGAAGAAAAUGGAAUUGAAUAUACCAGCAUGGAACAAUCUAACGAUUCCCUAAGAGUCAACCAUAAUGAUUCUGAAGAAUCAAAAACAGAUUCUCAAGUAUAUGAGCAUCUAACCUGCAUGGACUCCAGGGAUCCUUGCUUUGGACAGAAUGGUUCUCCUAGAGUUUUACCCAUCGUCUCUCAUGAAGCAGAUAAUUCACUCACGUCACAGAAUAUACCAGGGCAGACACAGACUCUUUCUGCAGAACAAUUCCAUCUAGUGGACCAAAAUAAGCAACCUAUUCAAUAUGAACUCCAGUCAUUGGGGGAUUCUAAUGCACAAAUGAUGAUUGUUGCCAACCCCUCAGAAAAUGGACAUGUGCUGCGUGUAAUUCCAUCUACACAGACAGGAAUGGCACAAGUGAUUGUACCUCAGGGGCAGCUUGUGGAUGUGAAUAGUCCUCAGGAUGUCUCUGAAGAGAAGUCCAAUGAUAGAAAUUUACCAGCUGUAAGAGUGGAUGUUCUAGCAGAUAAUACCAGUAGUUACAGUCUUCAUCCACAAGCAUCGGUCACAUUGCCCAAAAAGACAGUGGCCAGAAUGCUUGAAGAACCCUUUCUGGCUCCUCUCCAGCCACUUUCUUCUAACACACCUAUGUGGGCCUGCCGUCUUAGGAGCUGUGAGAAAAUUGGAGAUUCAUACCGUGGCUACUGUGUAAGUGAGACCGAAUUAGAAAGUGUUCUAACAUUUCAUAAGCAGCAAACACAGAGUGUUUGGGGGACCCGCCAAUCUCCAAGUCCAGCCAAGCCAGCUACACGCUUGAUGUGGAAAUCUCAGUAUGUCCCAUAUGAUGGAAUCCCAUUUGUUAAUGCAGGGAGUAGAGCCGUGGUAAUGGAGUGCCAGUAUGGGCCAAGGAGAAAAGGUUUCCAGUUAAAAAAAAUCAGUGAGCAGGAGAGCAGGUCUUGUCAGCUCUACAAAGCCACUUGUCCAGCCCGGAUUUACAUUAAAAAGGUACAGAAGUUUCCUGAAUAUAGAGUUCCUACAGACCCCAAAAUUGAUAGGAAAAUAAUCCGAAUGGAGCAGGAAAAAGCCUUUAACAUGUUAAAGAAGAACUUGGUAGAUGCUGGAGGUGUUCUUAGGUGGUAUGUACAGUUACCUACAAAGCAAGCCCAUCAGUACCAUGAAUUAGAGACUUCCUGCCUCCCUUUGCCACUUUCCCCUUUUCCUGUGUCUUCUCUUGAAGAAGAGGAAACUGCAAUUAGGGAUGAGAACUGUGCAUUACCCUCACGUCUACAUCCCCAAGUAGCACACAAGAUUCAAGAAUUAGUGUCACAGGGAAUAGAACAAGUAUAUACAGUAAGGAAACAGUUAAGAAAAUUUGUAGAAAGAGAACUAUUUAAACCUGAUGAAGUACCUGAGAGACAUAAUUUAUCCUUUUUUCCAACUGUAAAUGAUAUUAAAAAUCACAUCCAUGAGGUACAGAAAUCCUUGAGAAAUGGAGAUAAUGUGUAUAACUCAGAGAUUAUUCCAGCAACGCUUCAGUGGACUGCAGAUAAUGGGCAUAUUCUCAGAGAGACUGUGACAGUUACAUUUGCAGAAGGAAAUUCACCGGGGGAAUCAAUUAACACUAAAGUGGAAACAAAUCAGACAAGGGGUUCUUUGUCUCCAGAGCCGGCCCACUUGCUUUCUUCACUUUCCUCAUUUCAGCCAAAAAUAUUUACACAAUUACAGGGUUUGCAGUUGCAACCAAGAUUCACUUCUCCUGAUGGACCAUCGGCUGUGAUAUCAGUAAAUAACCACCCUUCCUCCAGUCCUUCAAGACUUCUGGAUUCAUUAGAAAGUACUGUACUGAAUAAUAAUUCUCUGCUGCUUGGUCAAAGUCAUAGUCUUCAAACAGAUACAUGCCUAACCUCAAACAGUAGCAUUAUUGCCUCUACCAUGACUAGCCUUCCAGGACCAGAUCAAAAUCUGGCUGCAAUGGACCAGCUGGUGGAAGUUGGAGAUGUUGAGGAUGCAGAGAAUAUGGAAGGAGGUGUUCACCGGAUUCUGCUGGGAAAUGGGCAGACCAUCCCAAUACAGAUUAUAGAUAGCCACCCAGCUCUUAUUGAAGAAAAUCCAGAAGGUACCAUUUCUCUGAGCCAAGUUAAGCAAGAACCCAAAGAACCAGCAUUGUCUAUGGAAGCAAAAAAAAAUUUGGACUGUAAGAAAUUAUCUGCCACAUAAAUUAUUGAAGCUUUUCAGAAUUUAUAACUUGGGUAACUUCUGAUGUCAUAAAAAAAGAAGGUGAAUAUUGUCAAAGUGCAGUAUUGUGAUAGAUGGACUAAAGACUAGUUCAAUGAGCAACUGUGAUUUAAAACUGGUAUGUUUGUUGCCAAGUCCAUAUUUUUGGAAGCUAUUUUACUGCUGUCAUUUUGUAUAAUUCUUGUGCUUUUGAUUAUCUAAUGAGGCCAGUAUUUCAAAAGAUCAUCUGAAUUUAUUCAUGACAAUAUAGUCUGAACACAAAUAGUCACAUAACUCAUCUCUUGAAAAUAUCUAAUUUGGGUUCUGAAAAGACAAAAACAAAAAAUAGUGUGUGUGUGUGUGUGAGAGAGAGAUUAUGUGUGUGUGUGUGUGGGGGGACUGUGUUGACUUUUUAUUUAAAAGUGAUAAAAAAAACUUACUGCCUCUUUAAAGUUGUGAAGAAAUUCUUUUUUUUUUUUUUAGAAAUUCUUUACAUUAUAGCAGACAGGUGAGAGAUUAUUUGUAGUCUGUCACAUUAGGGAAGAUAAAACAGUCGUAGAUUUGAAUCAUAACACGAAGCCCAGCAUUCUCCUUUGUGGAAACAGUAGUUGCAUUUUGGCUUCUUCCAUUAGAACUUUUUAUACUUCAAACUACAAACCAAUAGCAUACUAAUGGUCAUCUAAUAGAAAUUUAAAGUGUCUUGGUAAGUACUUAUAAUUUUAACUUGAAUUAAUCAGAUAAAACACAGAAAUAAAUGUAUAUUGCAUGGAUUUAUAUAGUAUUGUAGGUAAAGCACUACUUAUGGAGAGGAAAAUGUAGAAAUUGAGAGAAUUCAGAAAAAAUAACAGACUUCCCCUGGUGUUUACAGAUGAUUUGGGGGACUUUUUGAUAUCAGCAGGGGAUUUUUUUUUUCCUAUUUUGUAUUGAAGAUUCAGCUCUGGUUGGAAAACAAUUUGAGUUGUAUUUAUUUUUCUAUGCCAGAGUUCUUACUGAAUUGGUGGUAUUAGAAUUUAUGCUAUUUCAAGGUAAGUAUUCGUAGUUAAAAAAUUAGUUCUUAUUUAACACUUUAAAACAACUGAUGUAUAUGUAUAUUGACUUGUUGAGUAAGUAUAUUUACUCGAAAUACUGAAUAAGUACUGAUCACUAUAUUCAUUGUAAGCUUCUGUUUUCUGGAAGGUUGGCAAACUAGAAAUGUCAAUUAUAAACUGUCAAGAAAUCAACGUAAAGGCUUUUUUUACCCCAGGGACCAUGUGUGGGUAUAUUUAAGCUUUUAUUUUAAAAUAAUAAGGAUUUCAAAUGGAUAUGAAUGUUUAAUGUUCAAAGGAUAUGAGAUAUAAUAUGAAAUUUAACCUUAAUAUUUUACAUGAAUAUGAGUCAUUUUUAGCUUUUCUAAAUCCAGUCUCCCAUUCUUAAUUCAUUUUAGUUGUCGCAGGUUCAUAUGUAUCUAAGUAUAAAGCAUUGUUAUAUUAGAAGUGAGUAGAACUUUAAUAAAAACAUCUUGCUCUUUAGAUUUAUACCCUAUUUAAUAUAAAAUGUAUUAUUUAUGCCCCUAUUUAAUACACAGUUAAUAUUUAAUUACAUAUAUGAUUUUUAGUUAGAAUAGUUAACUGUUCUAUGAACUGAAAAUAUUUGAUGUCAGCAUUUUAGAGGCAGGCUGCCAAAUCUGAUUAUGUUACUCUAAGUUAAACACAGCACUUAAUUACCUCAAACCCAGAUUUCUCUUAGUCUCUGUGUACUUAAAGGGUAUAAGUCUAAAUUUAUAUUGUAGUGUUACAUUGUAGAUAACAUUCUUUUCAUUUGUUAUUUCCAGUUUAUGGAAACUGUUUUCAAGAUUUUAAGUAAUAUUCACUUUUUAUUAAUGGCAAUAGCUUAUUAAAUAUUUUACCAAUUUAACUAUGUUCCUUUGGAGACAUUCUUUUCUUUUUUGAUGUUGAGUUGUUAAGGAGAAAUGCUUGUUAAGAUACAAACUCUAGUGAAUUACCUACGAGAAUGAGAGAUGUUAGAGGAUUCAGACUUUGGCACUUAACAAAACACAGUUUUAACAAAACACAGUUAAAAAAUAUUUCUCUCACUUCAUUCUAUGUGAAUGUCUCUCUGGUACUCAUUUUUGUUUUUGUUUUUAUGAGGACAGAAAGUUACAGUGCAUCCACCUCACAAACAAAAAGCAAAAUUAAGAAAGAGCAUGAAGGAAGGUUUCAGUCCCUAAUUGUAUACUCUUUUGGUUUUUAGGUAGAAACUGGAACUAUCAAUAUUUUCAUGUUAUUUUGGAGGUAUUUUAAAGGAGCCAGCAUUUGACGGUCUUGGAGUUCUAAUCAAAACUGGUCAUCUUGGGAACAGCAUGCUUUUCUGAGGCGUUUUGAGCCUCCUGCACAGGGUCUCUCCUAAUGGCAGUGGUGAGAAAUCUGCAUUAUUACUGUCAACACUACUGUUUGUCCUUGUCAUUUCUUCAUUGCGGAUCUAUGAGAGGAAGUUCACACGGACGAAGAUGGGUGCACACUUGCGGGUUCAGAAGGUUUCUCUUCAGACUGCCAUUCUUUGGAAAAACAGUCUCCAGUCAUUUAUGAAAGUUGUAUGAGAAUUUUGCCCACUCUUUUUUGUUUUGUCCAUGAAAUCCUGAUUCUCUUUAGGAGGGGGUCCCCAAGAUUCAAGACUCACAUUUGGCUAAGUGUUGUCAGACUCAUGGGUUUAUCUUUAGUUUGGUUCUGUAGCCAUUCUGGGCUGGACUCCUGCAUCUUAAAUGUAUUUAUGCUAGAAUCAAAAUGUGUCUUGUUUGCUUUCUAAA